rnacentral:rRNA from 1 species
GAUCAUUACCUAGAGUUUGUGGGCUUUGCCCGCUACCUCUUACCCAUGUCUUUUGAGUACUUACGUUUCCUCGGCGGGUCCGCCCGCCGAUUGGACAAAAUUAAACCCUUUGCAGUUGCAAUCAGCGUCUGAAAAACAUAAUAGUUACAACUUUCAACAACGGAUCUCUUGGUUCUGGCAUCGAUGAAGAACGCAGCGAAAUGCGAUAAGUAGUGUGAAUUGCAGAAUUCAGUGAAUCAUCGAAUCUUUGAACGCACAUUGCGCCCCUUGGUAUUCCAUGGGGCAUGCCUGUUCGAGCGUCAUUUGUACCUUCAAGCUUUGCUUGGUGUUGGGUGUUUGUCUCGCCUUUGCGUGUAGACUCGCCUCAAAACAAUUGGCAGCCGGCGUAUUGAUUUCGGAGCGCAGUACAUCUCGCGCUUUGCACUCAUAACGACGACGUCCAAAAGUACAUUUUUACACUCUUGACCUCGGAUCAGGUAGGGAUACCCGCUGAACUUAAGCAUAUCAAUAAGCGGAGGA